CUCCGAGCAAAGCGGGCAGUUAGCGGCUGCGCGCGGAGCCCGGCGCGGAGAAGCUCUCGGGAUCUGGGUCCGAGCCGGGCCAAGCUCGGAGCACGCGCCUGCGCAUUAACCGCCCCCGCCUCCUUUUCCCGCCGACCGAGGGGGCGUGGGCAGGGCAGGGCGCACGCGUAGUGGGCCUCGCGCGCGCCGCGGGCAAUGUGGGAACCUGCGUUCCCUGCGGCUGCGCGCCCGGAGUGGGUCUUCACGCUGCUGCUUUCCGCUUGUUUUCCGGCCUCGCACCCUCGGUGGGAGCUUGAACCGUGGAGGGCGCCGCGACCGACGCCUUCUCCUAGAGCCAUCAGAAUGGGAGCUCCAGGACGAGUGGCCCCUGAGGCCCCGUACUGAACAGCGCCUGACACCGAGCCUCACCGAGUGUCUUCAUCGAUCACAUGGGCUGAUGACCCCUCCCUCCCCCUCCCUCCCCCUCCCUCUCCCUCCCCUUCUCCCCUCCCCUCCCCUUCUCCCCUCCCCCCUCCCCCCCCCAGGACUGAGGGGAGAAUAUUGGACGCCCUGGGCUCAUUCGUGACUCACCUGCUACGCAACAUCCCGCGGGCCCUGCCUCAUCUCCUAAAUAGAGCCCAGAUCCGCCCGUUCUCCCCAGCAGGGCUCUCUAUCCCUACCCCAGGCCAGACCAUUCUCAUCUCUCUCCUGGAAAACCCGAUAGCAUCUUUCUCUCUCUGCUCUCUUUCCUUUCAUUCUUAUGAAAUAAGCAGCACACAGAGGGAUCUUUUAAAAAUGUGAGUUAGAUCAAGGGCACAUCUUUCCUCAGUGCUUCCGAAGGGCUUUCUACUGAUCUUGGAAUAAAUCCUAAACCUCUUGUUCAGGCUUACAAAGCCCCCGUUUUUUGCUGCCAUGCUUGCCCUUGCUCGUUGCAGUUCAGCCAUAUGGUCUUUCUGUGUCCUUGGAGCUCACCAAACCCCUUCCAGCCUCAGGAUCUUUGCACUGGCUGAUCCCUCUGCUUGGGACUUUGUGUCCCUUUUUUUCCUGUUUGAGUCCCAGCUUCACUCCUCCUGCUCCAGUAUGAUCUGGAGGAGGAGGUCCUAUAGCCUGUGGGCCACAUUUUUAAUUAUUGGGAGAAAACCAAAAGAAGAAUAAUUGCUCAUGACAUGUGAAAAUUGUAUGGAAUUUAAAUUUCUGUGUCCAUAAAUAUAGAUUUAUUUGAAAACAGCCAUACUUAGUCAUUGACAUAAUGUCUAUGGCUGCUUUUGAGCUGCAGAAACAGAGCUGAGCCCUUUUAACGGACUGUCGGGCCAACAAACUUAAAAUAUUUACUCUUUGAGGCUUUAUAGAAGUGUGCCAACCUCUAAUCUAGGACACGUGUAUUUACAUGGUUGUUCUAUACAUUUCUGUACAACCAAUGGGGUGUGGUGAAUGUUUAACAACAGCUGCUUCUCUUGGGGGGGGAAUGUGUGUUUCUGUCUGUGUUUAUAUGUGUGCCUGUGUGUGUAUAGUUUAUUGUAAAUUUUACUAUUUUCCCAUCACUUUAAGUCUUGAAGACAAUAAAACAAUAAAUUGCACCCUG